rnacentral:rRNA from 1 species
UACGGAGGGAGCUAGCGUUGUUCGGAAUUACUGGGCGUAAAGCGCACGUAGGCGGCUACUCAAGUCAGAGGUGAAAGCCCAGGGCUCAACCUUGGAACUGCCUUCGAAACUAGGUAGCUAGAAUUCUGGAGAGGUCAGUGGAAUUCCGAGUGUAGAGGUGAAAUUCGUAGAUAUUCGGAAGAACACCAGUGGCGAAGGCGACUGACUGGACAGAUAUUGACGCUGAGACGCGAAAGCGUGGGGAGCAAACAGG